UCGUCUGCUCGUGCCGUGAGGUGUCGGCUUAAGUGCCAUAACGAGCGCAACCCUUGCUGUCAGUUGCCAUCGGGUAAUGCCGGGCACUCUGGCGGGACUGCCAUCGCAAGAUGUGAGGAAGGUGGGGAUGACGUCAAAUCAGCACGGCCCUUACGUCUGGGGCUACACACGUGUUACAAUGGAGGGUACAGAGGGUUGCCACCCGGUGACGGGGCGCUGAUCCCGAAAUCCCUUCUCAGUUCGGAUUGGAGUCUGUAACCCGACUCCAUGAAGCUGGAUUCGCUAGUAAUCGCGCAUCAGCCAUGGCGCGGUGAAUACGUUCCCGGGCCUUGUACACACCGCCCGUCAAGCCAUGGGAGUCGGCGGUACCUAAAGAGCGGGGUAUAUCCCGUUUUAGGGUAAAGUCGGUGACUGGGGCUAAGUCGUAACAAGGUAGCCGUA
rnacentral:rRNA from 1 species